GGUUAAGCGACUAAGCGUACACGGUGGAUGCCCUGGCAGUCAGAGGCGAUGAAGGACGUGCUAAUCUGCGAUAAGCGUCGGUGAGGUGAUAUGAACCGUUAUAACCGGCGAUUUCCGAAUGGGGAAACCCAGUGUGAUUCGUCACACUAUCAUUAACUGAAUCCAUAGGUUAAUGAGGCGAACCGGGGGAACUGAAACAUCUAAGUACCCCGAGGAAAAGAAAUCAACCGAGAUUCCCCCA
rnacentral:rRNA from 1 species